AUUCUGACCUUCCACUGUGCAGAGAACAGACCUGCCAGAGAGCCUUGCUAUUUUUACUUCACUGCGAGGGGAUCUCAGGUUACAAAUUAUAUACGGAUGAGGUCUCCCCUUCGGAAGCUCCCUAUUUCAUCUCCCUUCCGUCUGCCUCUAUGGGGGUACUCCCCAACCCACCCACUCCCAUUCUCCAGCCCUGGCAUUUCUUGCUUGUCUACUGACUACAUCUGGAUUGAGCUUCAAUGCAGAAAUGGAGGGCACAUCUGAAAGUGAUUGCUCGCUUGGUUUUAAGUGGGUAAAUUCACUUCUAGUCCAGAUCUUUGAGAAGCCUUCCCAUAACUCCUUUCCUUUAUGAUCUGUGAGCAAAGAGAUGCUUUGGAGUAGAUGAAGAUGGUGAUAAGAUACUAGAUACCAAAUACGUACAACUUACAGAAUCCUGGCAGCAUCCAACAUGUUUCAGCAAACCAGAUCCUGCAUAAAGGCCAGGCAGGAGAUUAGUGUGAAGCCUAAUCUUCAACCUCUAAGGCUUCAGGCUAUGUCAGCAUUCACUCCAGGAAGACAUGUCCCUGCCUAUCAAAGAGCACUGGCAUUUGUUUAAUCCUUGUACUUUCUCAGUGCAUUGCCAGCUUCUGACCAGCAGAAAAAGCUGAGGAUUGGUGGCACUGAAUGAACACAUGUAAUGCCCCCGUCCUUGCUUUGAGAGCUUAUGCUCUCACUGUCUUGAAUAACGAGUACCUCGAGUAACCACAGAGUCUCAUCUAGACCCCUUUACCCCAUGCCUGAUGCAGUCCCCUUUUUUUCUGUCCAGUCCAAAGGAGCUCAGUGGGGCCCUGAACCCUAACUCUUAUGGAAUACAUUUGAUAUUUGAGAAUCAAUGAAUAAGGGCUACAGUAAGAUUCAAUCCUGGCCAAUAAAUUACCAACUGAAGAUA
rnacentral:lncRNA from 1 species